rnacentral:rRNA from 1 species
CGCGUAGGCGGUCUUGUGUGUCUGCUGUGAAAGCAUGCGGCUCAACCGUAGAGAGUCGGUAGAAACUGCAAGACUUGAGGCUGGGAGGGGCUGGUGGAAUUCCCUGUGUAGCGGUGAAAUGCGUAGAUAUAGGGGAGAACACUCGUGGCGAAGGCGGCCAGCUAGACCAGUCCUGACGCUGAGGCGCGACAGCGUGGGGAGCAAACA